AUUGAACGCUGGCGGCAUGCCUUACACAUGCAAGUCGAACGGCAGCGCGGGGCAACCUGGCGGCGAGUGGCGAACGGGUGAGUAAUAUAUCGGAACAUACCCUAGAGUGGGGAUAACGUAGCGAAAGUUACGCUAAUACCGCAUACGCACUAAGGUGGAAAGUGGGGGAUUCGCAAGAACCUCAUGCUCAUGGAGUGGCCGAUAUCUGAUUAGCUAGUUGGUGAGGUAAAGGCUCACCAAGGCAACGAUCAGUAGCUGGUUUGAGAGAACGACCAGCCACACUGGAACUGAGACACGGUCCAGACUCCUACGGGAGGCAGCAGUGGGGAAUUUUGGACAAUGGGGGCAACCCUGAUCCAGCAAUGCCGCGUGAGUGAAGAAGGCCUCGGUUGUAAGACUCUUUGUCUAGGGAAGAAACGGUA
rnacentral:rRNA from 1 species